rnacentral:rRNA from 1 species
ACACUCCUGCGGGAGGCAGCAGUGGGGAAUAUUGCACAAUGGGCGCAAGCCUGAUGCAGCCAUGCCGCGUGUAUGAAGAAGGCCUUCGGGUUGUAAAGUACUUUCAGCGGGGAGGAAGGCGAUAAGGUUAAUAACCUUGUCGAUUGACGUUACCCGCAGAAGAAGCACCGGCUAACUCCGUGCCAGCAGCCGCGGUAAUACGGAGGGUGCAAGCGUUAAUCGGAAUUACUGGGCGUAAAGCGCACGCAGGCGGUCUGUCAAGUCGGAUGUGAAAUCCCCGGGCUCAACCUGGGAACUGCAUUCGAAACUGGCAGGCUAGAGUCUUGUAGAGGGGGGUAGAAUUCCAGGUGUAGCGGUGAAAUGCGUAGAGAUCUGGAGGAAUACCGGUGGCGAAGGCGGCCCCCUGGACAAAGACUGACGCUCAGGUGCGAAAGCGUGGGGAGCAAACAGGAUUAGAAACCCGAGUAGUCCC